AUUCCUGCUCUGUAUGAGAGGAGCUGCAGGUUCAGACACCUGGGAGUCUGUGCUUGGCUGAGGAGCCAAUGGUGCAAAGGUACCACCUGUGGGACCACGUCUGAACACCUCCAAGUCUGUAUCCUU
rnacentral:ncRNA from 1 species